AUGAUUCCCCUCUUAAAAUUGGAUAUGAACAGAAGAUUAGAUUUUUAUGGCUCUGAAAUUAAAGGUUAAUAGGUUAACCUAUGCGCAAAUUGGGCGUUUUCAUGGUUAUGAUAUGAUAUUUUAUCUGUUGAAUAAACGUUUAUUGCUUCAUUUUCUUCCUAAAAUUAGGUUAUGAGUAAAAAAGGUGUCUUUGCAUUAUUAGGUUAUGAACUGUGUGUUUUGUUAUAGAAAUGGUUAUUGCUUGCAAGGUUGAGUACAUGACGGAUUCUUGACAGGAAGCUUUCUAUUUCUCGAACCCGUAUCAACCCUGCACCCCGAUUCCUUCUCCCGAAUUUCGGCUAUGUGAUUGGUCAGGCCAGAAAUUCGAAAUUUAGUGCAUCCCUUGUGAAGAGUGUAUCUCCCUAUGCCGGCAUUGGUCUUUCAGUUUCGUGUACGCGACUCAACUCUUGUAGAGCAGUUGGAAAGGACCACAAUAGAAGGCAUAUAAGAUCUCAUUUGUCGGAGGAUGGCAGUGCUGCUGCAGAUGUCCGUGUAGAUGGUGAUAGGAAGGAUGAUAAGAAGAAGCAGAUGGAUAGGAUUGGUCAUGGAAACAAAGGGAGAGUUCCGUGGAACAAGGGAAGGAAACACAGUGAAGAAACUCGUGAGAGAAUUAGUCGUAAAACAAAAGAAGCCUUGAAAGAUCCCAAGGUGAAGUCAUGUUAGGAAAAAGAUGUCUGAAGCUCCUCGGGUUCUCAGUACAGUAAACAGACAAAAGUAAAGAUAUGUGCGUCUCUCACAAAGCUAUGGGGAAGAUGUCUAAGAUUGAAGAGGUCGAGAGAGAGAUUAUUGCAAUCAUGGGGUGAAAGUAUAGCAUUAGCUGCUAAGAAAGGAGGGGUUGAUCAGCAAGAACUGGAAUGGGAUGGUUACAAAAAAUUUAAACAAGAUGUAGGCCGACAGAAUGCAGAGGAAGCAAAGAUGAAAGAGCUUAUGCGUGUACGGAAACGGAGAGAAGCAAAGGCGAAAGCAACGCUCAAAAGAGAAGGGAGCGGGAAGAAAUCGCUAAAGUUGGACAGGAACCUACUAGAAAGAGGAACAAAUGGUCGCAAGAAACGAGAGAAAAACUUGUCGAAUUUGAGGAGGCAAAACUGAAGGAGAGGCUAAUGAAGAUUCGGAGAAAGAAAUCGACAAUCUCUCGAGUAAGCAGUCAGCGUCAGCGACAGCGAAUGUGGGAGAAAUUCGACCUGGACCUUGCGGAGGGGAAGCACUUGCAGAAGGAUAUUUCGCUUGCUGAUCAGAUUCGUGUUGCUAAGAUGAGGAGCAGAACUGCUGCUUGACAAGCAAGACUUCAAACAUCUCUAACUGAUGAAGAAGAAUUCACUGUUUCCUUGUCCACUUCAAUCCAUUUAUUUGUUGGUUGUUAAACAAUACCCUCAAAAAGAUAAUG